rnacentral:misc_RNA from 1 species
AUUUAUCUUAUUAAUAAUCCCACCCUAAAUAUGGCUAUCUUUCUUUUGCCUUUAUUAAUUAGGACUUGUCUUUUAUAUGUCUAUUUUAAUAAAAGAUUAAAUAAGGCAAAAGGCCCCUAAAUUUAGGGCGAGUAGUCAUAUUAGGGCUAAUUAAUAGGAAGAACCCAUUUUUUUUUAAUGCAUUAAAUACACCUAAUAAUU